rnacentral:rRNA from 1 species
GGCUCAGUAACACGUUGAUAAUCUACCCUUAGGUCUGGGAUACUCUCGGGAAACUGAGGUUAAACCCGGAUAGAAGAUUGAUGUUGGAAUGCACUUUCUUUUAAAAGCAAUGCCUAAGGAUGAGUCAGUGGCUGAUUAGGUAGUUGGUGAGGUAAUGGCUCACCAAGCCUGAGAUCAGUAGGGGGGAUGAGAGUCCUAGCCCCGAGAAGGGCACUGAGAUACUGGCCCUAGCACUAAGGUGUGCAGCAGGCGCGAAAACUUUACAAUGCGCGAAAGCGUGAUAAGGGUAUCCCAAGUGCAUUACCUAGUAAUGCUUUUGCCAAGUGCAAAUAGCUUGGAGAAUAAGUGGUGGGCAAUACCGGUGCCAGCAGCCGCGGUAACACCGGAGCCACAAGUGGCAACCAUUUUUAUUGGGUCUAAAGCGUCUGUAGCAGGUUAUGUAAACUUCUUGUGAAAUUGUUGCGCUUAACGUAACAGCGAGCGAGAGGGACUGCAUAGCUAGGAACCGGGAGGGGGCAGAGGUACUUCAUGGGGAGCGGUAAAAUGCUAUAAUCCACGAAGGACCACCUGUGGCGAAGGCGUCUGCCUAGAACGGGUUCGACUGUGAAGGACGAAAGCUGAGGGAGCGAUCGGGAUUAGAUACCCCAGUAGUCUCAGCUGUAAACGCUGCGAGCUAUGUGUUGCGUGUUCUUAGGGGACACGCAGUGCCUAAGCGAAGGUGUUAAGCUCGCCACCUGGGAAGUACGGCCGCAAGACUGAAACUUAAAGGAAUUGGCGGGGG